AACGGCGAGUGAAGCGGCAACAGCUCAAAUUUGAAAUCUGGCGUCUUUGGCGUCCGAGUUGUAAUUUGCAGAGGGCGCUUUGGCAUUGGCAGCGGUCCAAGUUCCUUGGAACAGGACGUCACAGAGGGUGAGAAUCCCGUACGUGGUCGCUAGCCUUUACCGUGUAAAGCCCCUUCGACGAGUCGAGUUGUUUGGGAAUGCAGCUCUAAAUGGGAGGUAAAUUUCUUCUAAAGCUAAAUACUGGCCAGAGACCGAUAGCGCACAAGUAGAGUGAUCGAAAGAUGAAAAGCACUUUGGAAAGAGAGUUAAAAAGCACGUGAAAUUGUUGAAAGGGAAGCGCUUGCAGCCAGACUUGCCUGUAGUUGCUCAUCCGGGUUUCUACCCGGUGCACUCUUCUAUAGGCAGGCCAGCAUCAGUUUGGGCGGUUGGAUAAAGGUCUCUGUCAUGUACCUCCUUUCGGGGAGAACUUAUAGGGGAGACGACAUGCAACCAGCCUGGACUGAGGUCCGCGCAUCUGCUAGGAUGCUGGCGUAAUGGCUGUAAGCGGCCCGUCUUGAAACACGGACCAAGGAGUCUAACAUCUAUGCGAGUGUUUGGGUGUCAAGCCCGAGCGCGUAAUGAAAGUGAACGGAGGUGGGAACCUUUCGGGGUGCACCAUCGACCGAUCCUGAUGUCUUCGGAUGGAUUUGAGUAAGAGCAUAGCUGUUGGGACCCGAAAGAUGGUGAACUAUGCUUGAAUAGGGUGAAGCCAGAGGAAACUCUGGUGGAGGCUCGCAGCGGUUCUGACGUGCAAAUCGAUCG
rnacentral:rRNA from 1 species